GAAAUGCGAUAAGUAAUGUGAAUUGCAGAAUUCCGUGAAUCAUCGAAUCUUUGAACGCACAUUGCGCCCUCUGGCAUUCCGGGGGGCAUGCCUGUCCGAGCGUCAUUACGCACCCUCAAGCCCGUCUUGUGUGAUGGGCCCCGGCGUCUCGUUCGCGAGACGGGCCCGAAAGGCAGCGGCGGCGUCGACCCGAUGAGCCCGAGCGUAUGGGGACUUCUGUCACACGUUCGCGGUGCGGACCGGCGCCUGCUUGACUUUUCUGAUUAUCCAGGUUGACCUCGGAUCAGGUAGGGAUACCCGCUGAACUUAAGC
rnacentral:misc_RNA from 1 species